UAAACUGGGAUUAGAUACCCCACUAUGCUUAGCCCUAAACUAUAAUAAUUUAAUAACAAAAUUAUUUGCCUGAGAACUACUGGCCACCGCUUAAAACUCAAAGGACUUGGCGGUACUUUACAUCCGUCUAGAGGAGCCUGUUCUAUAAUCGAUAAACCCCGUUAUACCUUACCAUUCCUUGCUAAUUCAGCCUAUAUACCGCCAUCUUCAGCAAACCUUAAAAAAGUACAACAGUAAGCAAGAGAAUCACCAUAAAAACGUUAGGUCAAGGUGUAGCCUAUGGAAUGGGAAGUAAUGGGCUACAUUUUCUAAGCAAGAACAUUACGAAACCCUUUAUGAAAUCUAAAGGACAAAGGAGGAUUUAGUAGUAAAUUAAGAAUAGAGUGCUUAAUUGAAUAGCGCAAUGAAGUACGUACACACCGCCCGUCACCCUCCUCAAAUUAAAUGAACACAAUACUAAUACAUAAUAARAUUAAUAAGUUUAUGAGAGGAGACAAGUCGUAACAAGGUAAGCAUACUGGAAAGUGA
rnacentral:rRNA from 1 species